rnacentral:rRNA from 1 species
UGGGGAAUAUUGCACAAUGGGCGGAAGCCUGAUGCAGCGACGCCGCGUGGGGGAUGACGGCCUUCGGGUUGUAAACCUCUUUCAGUGCAGAACAAGGCUCUUUGUGGGUUGAGGGUAUGCGCAGAAGAAGCGCCGGCUAACUACGUGCCAGCAGCCGCGGUAAUACGGAGGGCGCGAGCGUUGUGCGGAUUUAUUGGGCGUAAAGAGCUCGUAGGCGGUUUGUCGCGUCUGCUGUGAAAUCCUCUGGCUUAACUGGGGGCGUGCAGUGGGUACGGGCAGACUGGAGUGCGGUAGGGGAGACUGGAAUUCCUGGUGUAGCGGUGGAAUGCGCAGAUAUCAGGAGGAACACCGGCGGCGAAGGCGGGUCUCUGGGCCGUUACUGACGCUGAGGAGCGAAAGCAUGGGGAGCGAACAG